UAAUCAGCACAUGUGGUUUUCAUUUUCAGUUUCCGUUGUUCAAGUAGUUUCGGAGAGAAAGCUUUUCACAAAACCAUAAGCCUUUUAAGACAAUGUUUUUGACGGUCGAUGAGAAGGUUUUUUUUUGGCAACUUUUUACUUUUCAUACAACUAUAUGAUGCGUGGGUUAAAGUUGAAGACGUUCAUUGACUACACUUUAAAAAACAAGGUAAAUAUAUUUCACAGUCAAUAGAUACAACUUACAAUAAGAAUGAAAGUAUUUUCUCUAAUGAUAUCAUACAUGUUGGUAUUCAUAGGUCAUUUGCAGGUUUUAAAGCGAUAGGUAGUCCAUAGUUUAAAUUUGCGUUCUUGGUACAUUUUUUCCAAAAUUUUACGUGCAAAUACAUGUUCUUAUCGUUAAACUUUAAAACUACUAAACGCUCUAGAUAAUGCAGCGAUGAAAUUUUACCAAACUACACCUGUUCAUCCAAUUAUUACAACCCAUUUCAACGAUGACUGCUGUUUAUAAAUUAACUAAAAAAAUUGACAACAUACGUAUUUUUGUGCAGUAUUGAAAGGAUUUUCAUCUCCAAAAAAACUCACAGGAAUUAUUAACGUUGAAAUUAGGUAAUACACGUGCAAUAAUUUUCUGCGGCAAUUAGAAAUUAUCAACAAUUGUCGAGCUGGUGAAUGAUCAUGUUUGAAUCAGUUAUAAACCUGUAAAGAGACUAAUAUUAACACCUCAUGAAAUUUAACCUUCACCACACAUAUAAAUUCUGAAUUGUUGGUAAAAUCAAAAACAACAUGUACAACUUAUACCACGGUGCUCGAAAGUUUUCAUGUAUAUGAACAUCUCAAAGAACAAAAUAUUACUUAUUGAUAAAAUAUGUAUGUUAGAGUACACAAGCA